UGUGAAGUGACCUGUUCUGAUGGUAGAGAGCCAACCGGAGGCGCCAAACAUGCCAGUCCUACCCAUUGUGCUGGAUGUGCCGCUGGGUUAAGCAGGCGAAACUGUGCACUGCAAGUGUGCACACUAACAAAGACAGCUACAGUGCCCAGAUUGACGACAGAUAUCCAUCCAGUACUCACAGCAGUGGUUGCUAGGGACAGCGUGACAGCACCACCUUAUUGUUAGAGGCUCUGCAUGGCAACAAUAACCGCUCCUACAGUACAUCAACGUCUGUAGCUGUAACCAUCAUGCACUACUUUUUAAAAUAUUUCUUUGAAGACACUGACAUGGGGUAAAGGUGCUAGGUAUUUCAGCCAAGUCCCUCAAAAGUUCCAAGUGUGCAAAUAGUCCGAGUCCACACCCUGUCCAGGAAAGUUGUCACUUCACUGCACCAUUCCUCUCACAGUCAAAUCAUGGCAACACUUAGGAAACGUUAUAUACCUUGUUAUAUACUGUAAGGUUAAUGGAGGUUAGUGGAAUUACAAGCCAAUUGCAUACUGAAUAUCAAUGCAGUAAACUUUAAAGUACACAUAACAUGUCUCGUGGAAUUUAAUUUGUAUUCUGAAUCAUUGUCACACAUCUCAUAUAUAUGUUCUAAAUCCCUACAAUUAUGUUAAAACAACCAACGUGUACUUUCACAGUUCGUAAAUCAUUCGGAAAACUACUUUAGAAUAAUUAUUGCACAGCAAAUAAUGUGGGCAGAGCAGAGGACAAUACUAGAAUUAUUAAUAUUGUCUACUACAAUACGUAUACAUUUCCCUUUGAUGAGUCGAUCUUGUUUAUAAUACAUAUUUUCACUUUGGGAAUUCCUCGUUGCCAGGCUU